ACUUCAUCGAUGUUCCGCCGUCGAAAUAGACUCAUUAGGACUUGCUUCGAAUCCCACGGCGAGGCAAUGAUCAAAGGGUCCGUUGCUGAUGCCAUAGCAACUAUUUGGCCGCAAAACAUGACCAAAUCCGUUCGAUCUUAAAUAGAUGGCUCACUUUGCGGUGGCUGUCAUCACCAGUGCAGUCAUGGCUUUCAGCAGCCUCAUUGGAGCCAGAGUUCGACUGAGUCGUCCCCAGAGAACGGCGACUAGACCCAAGGGGAAGUCGCCGAGGUCCUGUGACUAAGACCCAACACGGAGAGUGCGCAAAUGCGUUUACAAUGUCGUGCUUCUCAAGUCAAUCUCGGGCAUUGAAGCGUCGCCUGCGGAGAUUCUCAAGAAGCUGCACGACACCGCUCCGGAUGAGCAUGUCCCGCAAAGUAACUUUCGAGAACCCUGCAUAUUGCGGGGGGCAAGGCUCGAAUCUGGCUUUCCCAUCGUACGAAGUCAACAUACCACAAGAGUAUCACCAGCCUGAUGGCGAAAACAUAGGCUCGGGGUCUACCCAGAUCGAGAGCGGAACGAAGAUUAAGUCAGCGAGGUUCCGACCUGCGGGCGAGAAGAAGGAGCUUCCCCGUUGAGAAUUCCGACGGAGCGUAAUGUUACAGCAAUGUUAAAAUGAAUUUCGUUGUUCCAAAUCAGUGUGAUGUAGUGAUUCAACCUCCGUCAAACUUGCUUGCCAGCUUGCGAAAACCAUCUGCUGCAUAUCGUGAUCCAAGAUUCGUUCU
rnacentral:misc_RNA from 1 species